GACGAACGCUGGCGGCGUGCCUAAUACAUGCAAGUAGAACGCACAGUUUAUACCGUAGCUUGCUACACCAUAGACUGUGAGUUGCGAACGGGUGAGUAACGCGUAGGUAACCUGCCUGGUAGCGGGGGAUAACUAUUGGAAACGAUAGCUAAUACCGCAUAAUAUUGAUUAUUGCAUGAUAAUUGAUUGAAAGAUGCUAUUGCAUCACUACCAGAUGGACCUGCGUUGUAUUAGCUAGUAGGUGAGGUAACGGCUCACCUAGGCGACGAUACAUAGCCGACCUGAUAGGGUGAUCGGCCACACUGGGACUGAGACACGGCCCAGACUCCUACGGGAGGCAGCAGUAGGGAAUCUUCGGCAAUGGACGAAAGUCUGACCGAGCAACGCCGCGUGAGUGAAGAAGGUUUUCGGAUCGUAAAGCUCUGUUGUAAGAGAAGAACGGGUGUGAGAGUGGAAAGUUCACACUGUGACGGUAUCUUACCAGAAAGGGACGGCUAACUACGUG
rnacentral:rRNA from 1 species